rnacentral:tRNA from 1 species
UCAGGAUAGCUCAGUUGGUAGAG